ensembl:ncRNA lncRNA:CR43991 long non-coding RNA:CR43991
AGUGACUUGUGCCCGGAGUUGCUGCAAGUGCGUGAUGAAGGCGGCUUCUUUGCCAGUUUACCAGCAACAGCUAAGGAAAAACAAUUUUCUCGCUCAGCACAAAUGGGUGAAAGAUGGAAAGAUGGAAGGAAGGAAAAUCGAGAAGCGAAAAUAUAAAGCAAGCAAAUCCACUUCAAUGGGGAAACAAGAAAAACAAGCAACAACGACGGUAGCAACUUGAGUGCCAACAAUUGAAGCAGCUGGCCCGUCAAAAGUUGCCACUUUCUUGGCACUGUCCUUGCGCCCAGAACUCCCAGCUCUACCCAUUUCCAUCACCAUCAUCUGUGCCCCCAUCCGAUCCCCAUCCGACGCCCAAUCCUCACCAGCACACGUGAGCUGGCAAAGUUUUAGUGGCAUUUUACCACUUUUGCCCCGACUUCCGCCUGAUUGACUUGCAUCGAGUUGACUUAGCACUGCUUCUUCUUCACGGCAUUUUCUUUAUUGGCCAGCAUCGAUAGAUAGAUAGAUCCACACCAGCUAGCUCUUGGCAUUGGCUGCGU